rnacentral:rRNA from 1 species
AUUGAACGCUGGCGGCAUGCCUUACACAUGCAAGUCGAACGGCAGCACGGGUGCUUGCACCUGGUGGCGAGUGGCGAACGGGUGAGUAAUACAUCGGAACAUGUCCUGUAGUGGGGGAUAGCCCGGCGAAAGCCGGAUUAAUACCGCAUACGAUCCACGGAUGAAAGCGGGGGACCUUCGGGCCUCGCGCUGUAGGGUUGGCCGAUGGCUGAUUAGCUGGUUGGGGGGGUAAAGGCCUACCAAGGCGACGAGCAGUAGCUGGUCUGAGAGGACGACCAGCCACCCGGGGACAGAGGCAGGGCACAGACUCCGACGGUAAGCAGCAGUGGGGAAUUUUGGGGGAUGGGGGAAAGCCUGAUCCAGCAAUGUCGCGUGUGGGAAGAAGGAGUUAGGGUGGGUGAGCACUUUUGUCCGGAAAGAAAUACUGGACUCUAACACAGGCGGGGGAUGACGGUACCGGAAGAAUAAGCACCGGCUAACUACGUG